AACUUUGUUCGAUCCAGCUGCUUUGUUCUCUUCUUUUGCAAGCCACUCUCUUCCUUUGACUCCUGCUGCAAUGGAAAAGAACAUGAGACUGGUUUAGGUACCCCCUUUCCAGGAAUGCCACUGUGUCUCCAAAAGGCUGCUUCACACCCAGAGUCUCUCUUCCCAGGAGAUGCAUCCCAAGCUCCUGCUCAGGAGCUCUCUUCCAGGGCACGGAUGUGAUUUAUGAGCACACCAAACUUUCCAGGGCUGUGAGUGCCUGCUCUGUGCUCAGAGACACACUCACAGCAGUG